AGGAGCUGUGUACAAUCGUGUUUCAAUUUAGCAAAACCUUGGCCAGGGUAGUCCUUGUGAGGAGUCACAGGACUGUUUGAGUUGAGCACGAUUCGGAUGAUCUGAUCAGGGUUGACAGUUUAACCCUGAGUCGUCCUAAACACAGGGGUCAAAAGGAUGAAUUAUACAGUAACCAUAUUCAUGUAGGUUCUGAGUGUUGCGAUUGUGACUCUUCGACCUAUCCAGACAUCGGGUACCAUUGCUAGAUGGUCA
rnacentral:lncRNA from 1 species